CAUGGAAGCUACCACUACCAUAAAGGCACCACAUCUCAUCUGAUCUUUGAAGCUAAACAGGGUUAGCCCUUGUUACUGCUUAGAUGGGAGACCGCCAACAAAUACCAGAUGCUAUAAGC
rnacentral:rRNA from 11 species